AUACUUACCUGGAUGAGGUCUAUAAGUGAUCACAGAGGCUCAUGGCCUAGGUGUGUGACCUCCAUUGCACUCGGGAGGUGCGCUCACCUAUCAUCUCCCCAAGUGGGAGAGUGUAUAUCAUAAUUGUGGUAGUGGGGCAUGUGUUCGCGGGGACCCUAC